AAAAAGGCUUUUCUCAAAUCCACUAAAGUUUGUGUUUGAGAAGAUUU
rfam:Arabidopsis thaliana chromosome 5, complete sequence.